GGGAGGCAGGAAUUCAGGAAGGAGGCUGGCAGAGUUCCCUGCAGCAGACCCUCUGCCCAGACCAUCCAGUACAGCCUUUGCCAGGAAGCUGCCUUUUAGAGACUUAGUUUGGAUCAGAUGAAGAAAUGUGAGGAAAUAACUUGGUUUAUGUCUGAGUCUAUCCAAGGGACCUGGCAAUAUCUGUCAAAGAAUUAUUUCAAACAUGUGUAGUACACAAUGAGUGGUGACUGUUACUGAAUCUCCCUCCUGAGACUCCUGCAUUCCACUUGUCAAUCUCUGAUCUCCUCACCCUUGAAAUAUCUUCUUGGACCUCUGAUCUCUACUUGUCCUGUCUCUCUUGAUGCCCUUAACUAAUCCACACUGAUGUCACACUGAUGGCCUUGCCCAUGGUGACAUUAUUGCUCUGAUGUCACUGAGAAACUAUCCAGUCUUGCCAUGGAGUUGAAUGCUGAAGAGCAUUGUGGAUACCUUAUAAUCUAAAAGAUACAUUUAAGUGAUAGACUUCAUCACAACAAUUUUGGUACUUGAAAAAUGAGAUAAGAUGAAUGGAUGAGAAAAACAUGUGUUUCACAUGAGUAUCCCUCCAUUUUGCUUUCACACACAGGGAAACAAGGUCAUUCUAAACAAGUACCAUUUCCCAGGAUGAAUAUGUCAUUCUUAUUAAUUCACCUACCAGCCACUUUUAUAUUUAGCAAGACUUGACAAGUUCAUAUUAUGCUAAAAGACUGGGCAACUGGAAAUGCAAUUCAGUUGUUAAUCCUCAAUCUGUCAGAAAGUACAGACUUGCGUAUAGCUGAAGAUAUCCUGAUGCAGCUUAGCAAAAGCCUCAUAUGACCAGAACAUGCUAUUUAUACUGCAAAACUGUAGUUUGCAUACGUGUGUAUAAGGUUUCACAAAAAUAGUCUCCUCUGUCUGCUUCUUAAUAUGUUAUCUGAAAAUGUCUGGCUACUGAGUUCCAUCUUAUUCUCCCCACCCCCCUGAAUUAUUUGCAGAAGAUGGAAGAUCCUUGAAUACACAGCAAAAUCUUCUAAACACAUAGUUUCACAAUUCCAUGAAUGCCUAUUUAUUCCCAUAUCACAGUACCAGAAUAAUGCCCUGAAGCAAGUAUCUUCUUGUCUAAGAAACACUGAACUUUUACCUUUAAAGCCUAAACAGUCUGGGACCUUUUUAGCAUAAUGAUCACCUCCUCCUAUAUGUACCUUCCUGUACACGCAGAUCAACAUUCCGUGUCCUGCUCCAAAUCACAGCACCACCUGAGAUUGGGUGAGUGGGUAUAAGAGACAGGGCAUUUUUAGUCAUGGCACCAUAGUUGUGGAAUACACUGAUCCCCCGCUCCCCGCUCCAGGGAAGCCAACUUGAUCCUAUUACUCCCCACUUUUCAUUACAUGGUGAAGACCUGACUUAAAAAAAAAAAAAAGCUUCCAUGAUAGCUGAUUGCCUUGGAUGCUGCUGUUGUAAUUUUGUGGAGUGUUGACUGCUGUAUCAGUGCUGUGUAAUUGUUUUAUUUGUAACAUUUCUACAAUUCUUUUUUCUUAACUACUUGUUA